GCCUUAGGCUGGCUCUCGCCGGCGGGCCGGCUUUCUACGCGGGGGCAGCGAGGCUGGCUCAGCACCCCGGGCCUCCUCUUGCAACCCUCGGGAAUGGCCGGCCGCCCCACUGAAAGCGCUGGGGAACCGAGAGGUGUCUUAGAAAGCUGCAUGAGUGGCAGAACGGUGGCUACUAUGACAGAGAGGCCGCCGUGGGCGAAGAGGGAGGUAUCCUGUCCUGCCUCGUGCUAGCCGCUGGCUUCCUCAGUGGGCUCUCCCUGAAGGAGGAUUUCCGCUUCACCUAUGCUUUAGGAUUCCAUCUCCAGUCAGUGCCUGCAAGACGAUCCUCACGUGCGAAACUGAGGAGUCUGAGGCAGGGCAGCUGGAGUGGAGAUACCUGGCUUCUCUUCCUCCUGCUGUCCCACGGUUUUGUGGCCUUAAGCCUCUUCGCCAUGAGCGCUGCUUUUAGAUGAAAAGCAUCAAUCUCCUUAGCGAACGAGAACGUGUUCCACCUGAACCACAGUCCAUUGCCGCGGCGAUUUUCAUUUCAGUAUUCGUGGGAUGUGAGAUUACCAUGAAAUGUGACAUUCUUCAGAAUUCAUCCUGGAAUCAAUAUUAUGCCAAAGAAAAUUUUCUGAAAGCUACACAGAUCAUACCACUGCAACUCAGCCAACCAGCACAUCGGACAGUGGGAGGAGGAAUUCUUGGCUAAGAGUACUGAGAGAUGGGGUUUCACCAUGUUAACCAGGAUUGUCUCAAUCUCCUGACCGCGUGAUCCACCUGCCUCAGCCUCCCAAAGUGCUGGGAUUACAGGCGUGAGCCACCAUGCCUGGCCAAAAUUCUGUAUGUCUUUCUAAUCUCACUUCCUAAUGGAGAUAAAAUAGAUCUCAGGCUUAUGUAUUUUUCUAGAACAUUAAAAUCUUGUUUUUUGUGUA
rnacentral:lncRNA from 1 species